UGGGGAAUAUUGGACAAUGGGCGAAAGCCUGAUCCAGCAAUGCCGCGUGAGUGAUGAAGGCCUUAGGGUUGUAAAGCUCUUUUACCAGGGAUGAUAAUGACAGUACCUGGAGAAUAAGCUCCGGCUAACUCCGUGCCAGCAGCCGCGGUAAUACGGAGGGAGCUAGCGUUGUUCGGAAUCACUGGGCGUAAAGGGCGCGUAGGCGGCUGUUUAAGUCGAGGGUGAAAGCCCGGGGCUCAACCCCGGAACGGCCUUCGAGACUGGGCAGCUCGAGACCGGAAGAGGAGGGUGGAAUACCCAGUGUAGAGGUGAAAUUCGUAGAUAUUGGGUGGAACACCAGUGGCGAAAGCGGCUCUCUGGUCCGGAUCUGACGCUGAGGCGCGAAAGCGUGGGGAGCAAACAGGAUUAGAUACCCCCGUAGUCC
rnacentral:rRNA from 1 species